ensembl:snoRNA
GCUCUCUCGGCUCUGCACAGCCACGCUUGCUGCCUCACGUGUGGCUUUCGUAAUGGGGAGAGAGAGGAAAGAUCUCCUCUGGACAUCAGAGCGGCCUGGCGGUGGCCACUCUUUCCUUGAGGAGGGCAACAGGU